CUAAUCUCAUCGUCUCUCUUCUCUUUUCUCUCCACUUCCUUCCGCGCCGCUUCCUCUCUGUUUUCUCCUUCGCCGUUCGUCGUUUCGUCCAACACUUUCUCAAUCUUCGAAGAGAUUGAAGACUAGACUCAAUGAGGGGAAGGAGCUACACACCGUCACCACCGAGGGGUUAUGGUAGGAGGGGCAGGAGCCCUAGCCCCCGUGGUGGUAGCCGUUACGGUGGUGGGUCGUGACAGGGAUCUACCGACCAGUCUUUUGGUUCGCAACCUUCGUCAUGAUUGCAGGCAAGAAGACCUUAGGAGGCCAUUUGAGCAGUUUGGUCCUGUCAAAGACAUCUACCUUCCAAGGGAUUAUUAUACCGGGUGAGCAUGCUCAGUAGUUAGGGCAUUAAAAUGUUUAAACACCCAAU